rnacentral:misc_RNA from 1 species
AGAUUUGCACUAAAAGUGCUCACCUCACCAUACGCCACACGGGAUGAAGUGCUGAACUAAAACCAAUUAAUAAACAAAUGGAACAAUGAUUAACCUCUUUAUAUUAUUGUGUACUCACGACCCUGUUUAAGACAGGUAAUCACAAAAGCAGAGCUAGACAACACAAGUAUGAAUGAGAUUUUAACACAAACGGUAAAGUAGCAAAGAAUUGUGAGAAAGGAAGAACCAUCCAGUCGAGGCCCCCAAUAAAUCGUCUCCCUCCGCAAAGUCGAUCCUGAAACAAGUAAUAAUUCUAUACAUAAGUGUGCAUAAAAGGAUAGCUCACCGACCAAGCCAACUUCUCUGAGGAUGGACUUCUCCAUCGUUCAUCAGCUUAUCCAACACUAUG